rnacentral:lncRNA from 1 species
CAUGACCCCGCCACCGCCGUCCCCACUCCUAGGCACACAGGUCGAGGAGGACCGCGCUGACUACAAAGAGUUCCAGGACUUCUCCAGUCUGCCCGACACCCGCAGCAUCGCCUGGGACGACUCUUUCUACCCUUUCCAGGAGGAGGAGGAGCACGGCGUCGAGGGCGUGGAGAGCGUCCUGGAGGAGGGCGUCCUGGAGGAGGGCGUCCUGGAGGCGUGGGGCUGCUGCAGACGUUGGUGCGGCGGGGGGUGAGCGUUGAGAAGGCUCAGGAGACUGACCACAAUGGCCAGAGCGGCCUUAAUGUCGCCUGCUACCACGGCUUUGUGGAUAUACCGUGGUGGCCUUAGCUGAGUGCCCCCACAUUGAAGUCAACUGGCAGGACAGGGAGGGGAACGCAACCCUAAUCAUAGCUGCACAGGCAGGAGCUGCCCCUGCCGCCAUGCAGGGUCGAACCGAUCGCAUCCGAGCCCUGAGCUAGCAGGGGCGGGUGUCCACGCGAGGGCCCCCGCCGUGGGAGGUCGCCAGAGGAGUGGCCACUUACACGUCCGUCUCAUGCAGAGGCUCCUGGAGCGCCCCUGCCAGGAGCGGCUGGGGAAAAAGUACCAGCUUGAGCUGCCUCCGCUCCACGAGAGGGUGCGGAAGCCCGAGGGCUCGAAGAACUGCCUGCAGAGGGUCAGGGACUGCGAGCUGUCCACGCUGACGCCGCGCUCCGUGCGUGGCCCGGAGGACCGGGGCGCCCUGGACCACAUGGUCAGGAUGACCACCAGCCUCUAACAGCCCCGCCGUGGCCCUCGCGUGCCAGACCGUGUGCCCCCAGAGCUCCCUGUGCGUGGGGAAGAGGCGGCUGGCGGUGCAGGAAAUCCUGGCGGCUCAGGAAAUUCUGGCGGCGCGGCUGGGGGUGGGGAGGCAGGCGCAGGAGGCGGGCGAAGCGGAGAGCGCAGAGCAGCACAAGCCGCCCUGCCCAGAGGCCGCGGGCUCCCGGGAGGGCUCCCUAAGAGCCGGCCUCCCACCUGCCCCGCUGCCAGGGUCCUGGGGCUCUGGCGACCCCGCCCCGCGGAAGGCCAGCCUCCUGCCCCUGCAGCGCCUGCAGCGGAGCAGCUUGCGGCCCGGCGUGGUGGUGCCCCGGGUCCGCCUCAGCAAGGCGCCCGUGCCCACCUUCCAGCCCCAGAGGCCGGCU